GGGGAGGGGGCUCUCUCGCGAUACUUGCCGUCUCGUCCUCAGGGUACCCCCCCCCGCAUGGGGUCCCAACUGCGCCCGUCUGUUAAGGGACCCCUUCCGAGGACCAGCUCCUCUCCCGGCCAGCGCUGAAGCAAGUCACCCGAAGGCACAGACGGGACACGGCCUCCUGCCACCUCGCGGGGCGCCUGCCCUGGGAUGGAGCAGGGGGAGUGGGGGGUCGUAAAUAUGGAAAAGAUGACACCCCCUUUUCGUUGAAAGCCUCGUUUUGAAUUCAGGUUAAUUUAGCUGGGACCCUCUUCCAAACAGCCGGGUUCUCGACCUUGGAGUCUUGAACAGAGAACUCUCUUGUCAGCCCACCCAGCAAAGCGUCUGCUGGGAGCCAGGCGCUGAGUGGUGUACUGGGAAAGCAUUGGGGGCUGGGCACGUCCCAGAAGAAGUGAUGGGGGUGAGGGGACCAUCGCGGUGAUGGAGACAGAGGAAUGUGCACCCCGACCCCAGAGCCAGCGGGAAAGCGUUCAGGGAGAGGAGACGCCUUGGAGGGGCUGGGUUGGCGCCCCCCGGGGCUUGGCGAUUCAGGCGCAAGGGCACCGUGAAGGUGUGAGGGGACACCCAGAUCUGCUUCGUGAAGGAAAGAGCCCGAGAAAAAUUGAAGUGACUUUGGAGAGGUUGGGGCCCCUGGGACGGGGUGUGCUGUUGGUGGGGGUCUUUUCCCAGCCACCCUGCGCAGAGCAGGACUGAGGCACUGUGGACCACUGCUCAGCUCUUCACAGCAAUCCUGCUAGUCAGGUUCGGCAGUCUCAGCUUGGAACCCUGGACUCACACUGUGCUCAGAGCCACAGAGACUGCCCUAGCUCCCAUGGCCCAGGCGCUCUGGGGGUCCCUUCCUGAGGAGGGCCAACCUCCUCCCCCACACCCACGCCCCCCCACCCCAGCGGGGGGAGCUGAUUUCAAGUCAGCUCAGAGUGAACCCGGAGGGGACUGCCUCCUGGGGUCUUGCCUCCAUCAGAGCCCUGCCCCUGCCCCCUCCCAGCCUUGGGCAUGACCCUUAACCUCUUCAAACC